AUACGGAUCCGCCGACACAAAAGCAUAGAAGAAGGAUAAGUAGUUAGUCUUGCAGAAACCAAAUCAUUAGCAUAUAUUUUUGUUUUUGAGAUUGUUCACUUAUUCCUGAUUAUCAAAAGACUACUGAUACUGUUAUGCUUUUACUGGUCGUAGUUCUGAUCUGACCAUCAAAAUAUUGCUACGACUGGGUUUGCGUUUGUAAGAGUGUGUAAUUCAGAAGAAUUUCUAAAUCCAGAUGACAAUACAAACGAAGAUUGUGAAAAUUCAAUGAAUUCAAAUUUUUCUCGAAACAGAAGGAGAUACGAGAAGCGAGUGGUUGACGCCACUUUAUAUAGUGACUCUCCAACGAGAUGGCCUACGUUUCAGAACUUGGCAGACGGAAAUGCGGGUAGUGAUUCGGAGAACGCUGUGCCAGGAGUUUCAGAUUAGUCAACAGACUAUACCGCACCAUCUUCAGAAUCACUUUCAAUAAGCAAUGUAAGUGACUUAAAAGAAAAUCAUAUAUACGGAAAAGAAAAGGGCUGUAAAUCAAUUCCAAAAAAAGCUUCUAAAUAAACGUGAACCAGAAAAGAAACGACGAAAAGAAAAAUAAUUGCACGGCUUUGUAUAUCUUGCGAGAAGUUUAUUGUAAAGCUUCAAGACAUCUCUGUAUAAUUCAUAAAGAUGAACCGACAGUGAGCAUAAUCUUGUCUCUCCUCAACAACUUAAUCUAGUGGGCAUAUCCACAUUCGUAUACAUACUUGGCAUACAUUUUUACUAUUUAAUUAUAAAUUCAAAAUAACAAUCAUGUUUUUGUAUUCCGAGUUGGUGCAAAAAUUUUAAAUAAAUUGUGCAAAGAUUCUAAAUUGAUAUCGGGGUUGAAUAAUUUCAUGUUGAUCGCUUGUAUAGUUGACUGUAUAAUCACUGCUAUACUUAGGCGCGCCUUGAUAGGUAGACAUUUGAGUUAUAAUUGGUGUAAUGUUUCUCAUUUUAGUUGACAUGGCAAAAUUUCAUUUCGCAUUUAUAGGCCCCACUGAAAACGCCACUUAAUUGAACAUUUGAGAUAUGUUGUGCGUAAUGGUUCUCGAUAUUUUUUUUAGAGAAUUCGGUGUUUUAAUUACAUACCUUCUGAAAUGGUCGGAUGGUUGAAAUUUUUUUUGAAUGCUUCCUAAUAUUAUUGUCAUUCCAAAAUAUCAUUUUGCAUUUACAUGACACACUUACGUAGCUGAGUAGAUGACGAUUUGCGAUAUAUUUUCUGUAUUGUUCCUCAAUAUGGUUUCAAAAUUUUGUUUUAUAAUAUUUGUCACUCUCAAGUUAUCGGAUAGGUGAACAUUUGAGAUAAAUUUUGAGCAAUUUUCCACAACAUCAAAAUAUAAUUAGUAUUCCAAAUUUCGUAUUUUAGUUAUAUUUCACACACUAAAGCGGUCGAAUAAGUUGACAUUUGAGAUAUAUUUUGUGUAAGAUUUCUCAAAAUGAUUUCAGGAAUUGGUUUCAAUAGUUGUAUGCUACACUUAGGUAUUCGGACAUUUGAGAUAUAUAUUUUGUGUAAUGUUCUUCAAUAUCAUUUCAGAAUUUGCAUUGUGAUCGUUUUAUGCCACACUUAGGUGGCCGGAUAGGUAGACAUUUGAGAUAUACUUUGUGUAAUGUUUCUCAAUAUGAUUUCAUAAUUUUCAUUGUGAUUGUUUUAUGCCACACUUAGG